GCUGCUUUGUAGAGUGUGAGGCUACAUUAACAACAAUGUGUUAGCCUUGAGGGCUCAGCAGAGGGCUAGAGGGAGGAAGGAAGUCCACAGGAGAUG